UGGCGUAAUGGCGGGGUCGCACGGGUUCUUACGGAGAGUCGCGUCACGGGUCGGAAUCCCGCUAUGCCAA
rnacentral:tRNA from 1 species